AUUGAACGCUGGCGGAAUGCUUUACACAUGCAAGUCGAACGGCAGCACGGACUUCGGUCUGGUGGCGAGUGGCGAACGGGUGAGUAAUGUAUCGGAACGUGCCCAGUCGUGGGGGAUAACGUAGUGAAAAUUACGCUAAUACCGCAUACGAUCUAUGGAUGAAAGCGGGGGAUCGCAAGACCUCGCGCGAUUGGAGCGGCCGAUAUCAGAUUAGGUAGUUGGUGGGGUAAAGGCCCACCAAGCCAACGAUCUGUAGCUGGUCUGAGAGGACGACCAGCCACACUGGAAAGGGUACACGGUCCAGACUCCUACGGGAGGCAGCAGUGGGGAAUUUUGGACAAUGGGCGAAAGCCUGAUCCAGCCAUUCCGCGUGCAGGAUGAAGGCCCUCGGGUUGUAAACUGCUUUUGUACAGAACGAAAAGGUUUCUACUAAUACUAGGAGCUCAUGACGGUACUGUAAGAAUAAGCACCGGCUAACUACGUGCCAGCCGCCGCGGUAA
rnacentral:rRNA from 1 species